GACAGAGGUGCCGAGCGUUAGGCGGAAUCACUGGGCUUAAAGCGUGUGUAGGCGGAUCCGUAAGUACCUUGUGAAAUCCCACGGCUCAACCGUGGAACUGCUUGGUAUACUGCGGGUCUUGAGCCAUCUAGGGGCAACCGGAACAAACGGUGGAGCGGUGAAAUGCGCAGAUAUCAGGAGGAACACCGGUGGCGAAGGCGGUUCUCUGGGCCUUACCUGACGCUGAGGAGCGAAAGCGUGGGGAAGCGAACAGG
rnacentral:rRNA from 1 species